rnacentral:rRNA from 1 species
AUGUCGACGGCUGCAGCCACCGCCACCCUGACCUCCCCCCCCUUUGCCCGGCGGCCUCGCGCCCCGCGGGGCGGCAGGCGGACGGUGCGGCCGCGCGCGUGCGCGUUCCACCCGGAGGUGGCACGCGCGGUGGAGUCGCUGCAGGCGGAGUUCCGGGAGGUGGACCAAGCCCUCGCCCUCAACUCCUCCCGCGUCUCCGCCGCCUUCCACGCCGCCCGCGUCGCCCCCCACCACUUCGGUGGGUCGACGGGGUACGGCCACGACGACGCCGGCGGCCGGGAGGCGCUCGACUCCGUCUUGCGCCCCCAGUUCUUCUCCGGCACGCACGCCAUCGCCUGCGCACUGUUCGCGCUAUUGCGGCCUGGACACGAGGUAAUCAAUAUGGACUUGACCGAACCGAGAGGCACUCGACUCCGUCUUCGCCCACGUCGUCGGCGCCGAGGCCGCCAUCGUGCGCCCCCAGUUCUUUUCCGGCACGCACGCCAUCGCCUGCGCUCUGUUCGCGCUCCUGCGGCCUGGACACGAGCUCUUGGCGGUCGCCGGGCCUCCCUACGACACCCUGGAGGAGGUCAUCGGGAUCAGGGGGUCGGCCAACGUAGGAUCGCUCAAGGACUUUGGGGUGACCUACCGAGAAGUCCCGCUCGCAGCAGAUGGUGGCCUUGA